rnacentral:rRNA from 1 species
ACUUAACAAACCGUACCAAACCAACACAGGUGGGCAGAUCUAGUACAUUAAGGUGAUCGAGAUAACGGCACUUAAGGAACUCGGCAAAUUGACCCUGUAACUUCGGGAUGAGGGGGGCCUUGGUAACACAAGGCGUAUAAGACAAAGGAGGAGCAACUGUUUAUUAAAAACACAGGACCCUGCGAAAUGGAAACAUGACGUAUAGGGUCUGACGCCUGCCCGGUGCCAUUGGGCGAAAGCGAGGCGUAUACGCGCUUAGCAUAAGCCUCGGCAAACGGCGGCUGUAACUCUGACGGUCCUAAGGUAGCGAAAUUCCUUGGCGGGUAAGUUCCGUCCUGCACGAAUGGCGUAAUGACUUCUCCACUGUCUCAAGUGCCGGCUCGGUGAAAUUGAAUUCCUCGUGAAGAUGCGGGGGUCUCGCGGCUGGACGGAAAGACCCUGUGCACCUUUACUAUAACCUUGCGCUGCUCGGAUUGCGGGCUUGUUCAGCAUAGGCGGGAGCUUGUUUUUAAUAAGCACCAGUGAGAUACCGCCCUUGUUCUUUAUUCGGGCUUUUUGCAUGGUUGGUAGUUUGGCUGGGGUGGCCGCCUCCUAAAAGGUAACGGGGGCGCGCAACGGUGGGCUCAAUCCGAUAUUCGGAGUAAGAGCGCAAUGGUAAAAGCCCGCCUGACUGAAAGACUGACGGGUCGAUCAGGGACGCAAGUCGGCCAUAGUGACCCGACGAUGCUGCGCGGAAAGGUCGUCGAUCAACGGAUAAAAGGUACGCCAGGGAUAACAGGCUAAUAACCCCUAAGAGACCAAAUCGCCGGGGUUGUUUGGCACCUCGAUGUCGGCUCAUCGCAUCCUGGAGCUGUAGGCGGUUCCAAGGGUUCGGCUGUUCGCCGAUUAAAGCGGUACGUGAGCUGGGUUUAGAACGUUGUGAAACAGUUUGGUCCCUAUCUACCGCGAUUUGAAUUGCAGGUGGGCACCCUAGUACGGGAGGAUCGGGUGCCACUGGCCUAUUGUGACCGGUUGUUUUUGAUGUUUCUUUAGCAUUGCCGGGUAGCUACGCCGGUGGGGAUAACCGCUGAAAGCAUAUAAGCGGGAAGCCCCCCCUAAAACAUUCUUGGGAAGUAGCAGAAGACUACAUAGGCGUGAUCGUUUUAUCCUGAAAG